CCGGCCGGCGGUGGCGGGGGGAGAGGGAGGAGGGAGCCGCUGACACACGAGCCCGCGCCCGCUCCCGCUGACAGGCAGGCAGCCGCCCGCGCCCGGCCGCCUCCCCCGCUUCCCCGCCCGGGGCCCCAGCGCCUCCCAAGCAGCAGGCCCUUAGCCGCAGAAACGCGGCCGCCCGACCCGCCGGGCCCGGGGGUGGGGCCUCCUGCCAGUGUUUUUCCAGUUCCCCCGGUAGCUCUGGGCCGCAUUUAGAAGCCGGGAAACUGGGCCGAGGCCAGUGUCGGGGCAGCAGAGGCCCUCGCGGCCGCCGGAGCCCUGCCAAGCGGCAAGCCAGGCCAGGGCGGGUGGGGGCCGGCGUGGAGAGCGGCCGGACCAGGGCGGCUCAGCCCACACCGUCGUCCCAGACAAGACACAGCCGCCCGACGGCACCUCGCGACUCCUUAAAACAAAUGAUUCUCAUAUCCGAAAACCCUAGCACCUACUGAGUGCCCAGCAAGCCCCCUGCAAGCGCUAAAAAGAUAACAUUAAGACCCACUCACCCCCUGCCCUCCCAGAGCUCUCAGUUUAGCUAGGGAGAUAGACAAACAUCCAAGUGAUUCAUCCCAGGCCUGAUGUGGGACAUGCCAGCAAAGUUUCAACAAAGGGCACCUAAGAACAAAGAGAUGGAUUCUGAUUGGAGAGUAAGCCAGUGUCUGAAUGAACCCCCUGCUGCCACCAUUGCCUGGUUCUGCUUUUCUUUUGAGCCUAUGGAUGGAUGACGCAUCACUUUGCCCACCCCAGAUCGUGAAGACCCACUAGGCAUCUGCAUGAAGACCAUCAAAUCUGGUAUCUUCAGUCCCAGAUUCUGCCCUGAGCUCCAGACUGUGGACCCAGCUGCCUGUGGGCCGUCUCCACGUGACAGUCCUUAGGCCCCCACCCCGGGAGGUGUCCUGCCUCUCUUUUCCCAGUCAGUGUGUCUUCCUCAACCCCACCACCAGUCUCCUCCCAGCCGCCCAUGGGGCACGAGGAGCCAUAAAGCUUCCCCUCGGUCAUUGCCUUUGUGCAGGAGUUUCGUUGCUUUCAUCUCCUUCAGACUGGUUUCUUCACCUUCAGUUUUGCCUCCCUCCAACCAUCAACCACACACUUCAGCCACACAUCCAAACAACCACAUCUCUGAGAAAACACUUCCAAAGGCUUCCUAUUGCCUCCACCACGAGAGAUACUUACAUGGUUUACUCCUGGCCUCCUGCCUUAUUGCCUACAAGAAGUCAGUACCCCAUCCACAUUUCCUCGGCAUGCAAAGCUGCACCAGUACCAUGAGCACCACCCCCCUGCCCGCCCCUGUGCUGGAAGAAUCCCUCCUCCACUUUCCAUCCAGAGACCUCCUACCUAUGUAUCCUUCAAGACUUUGCUCAAUUCACCUGGUUCCAGAAGCCCAUCUUGAGGCCUCCAAAUCCUGACUCUGACGCCUACCUCCCCUUUUCCCCACUCCUGGAGCAUUUAACACAGCACUGAUGACACUGGAUUAGAGUGUUUCUUUAUCUGUCUCCCCAGCUCAGACUCUGCGACUGUUGGAGGCAAAAGCAACAUACUUUUUCUCUACCUGUCGUAAGUGGCACAAUCAAUGGCUGCUGUACAGAAGUCAUUCAGGAAGGUGUACAGUACUAGUAUAAUAAGAAAGAGGAUAUUAAUAAAAAUAGCAACUUACAUUUGAAUAAUUUGAAUUUAAGUUUCACAAAAUGCUUUCACAAACAUCCUCAUUUAAUCCCAAAAGCAAUCGAUGUAGGUAAGUAGGACUGAACAUGUAAUCCUCGUAGCAAAUGUGGACAGUUCGUCUCAAAGGGAGUAGAUGGUUUGGCCAAAGUGGCAGCUAGAGAGAGCCAGGUGGGUCUCUGGAACCCUCCUCUUCUGGCUGGAGUGUCACACUUCCCUCAUUUUCUGCAGAAAUGGACCGGACUUUGAAAUGGACAGAAAUGGAGCUGUACUUCCUAAAGCCUGUCUCUGUGGUUGCCUUUCCCUGCUGACUUUCAAGGGCAAAUUAAACCUGGAUCUAGUCUCAGCAGUCCAUGCACUUUUGCCACAUGUAUAGCAGAACCACUUUGGAACUGCUGGAAAUCUGUUGUCCUCAUUCCCGCUUUUCUGUCUUAGACAUGUAACCGAGUCUCCCAGGGCAUGAGAACCGGAAGUCCCUUCCUUCCUCCUGUAUACUGAGUGCCAGAAUUGAUGCAGUCAAAGGCAAGGUUUCUUUACAUGUAAAGCUUAGUGACUCUCGGCACUAAUGAACUACCAGGAACUUCUCAGAACCCAAAGUUAGAAAGAGAAUGGGAAAAUCCUAAACUUUAAGAGGAAAAGUAUUCAAUUUUGAAGAUCAUAUUUGUGUGGGCUGGUUUAGGAAUCAUUCUUUAGUAGGUGAAUGAGUCACACCAUGACCCAGAGAAACCAGUGGAUAUAAGUGUCUAAGGGUGUAACAGAAGGUUCCAAAGUACCAUCCAUGGAGGCAGCCACACCAUAACAGCUGCCAGGACAAUGUGGCUGUUUGCAACAAGAUCAAUGCAGUCUCUGUAAGCAAAACGUCCCCCGAGCCACAAAGCAGUUGCUAAAUUUCCUGGUAUAGUUUGUUUGGGCUUUUCUUUCCUGUCUGUGACCACUGGUGUUUUGCAUCCCAGUUUUGUGUUAGAUUGCAAUGAGCGUGUAUUACCUAAGGGUAAUACUCUCUCUUUCUUCAGAAGAGAGAGUUUGUUGAGUUCACUUGCAGCUCAGGAUGCAGUACCAGAAGUGAGGGGGCGUCUGGCACCAGUAGGUCACUGGUCCACAAAGCAGCUCUUGGUUGCAGCUGACUAGUUAGUCAUUCACCGGGGAUUCAUGCAGCACCUACUCUGUGCCAACACCGUUCCAGACACCAGAGUUUCUACAACAAACAAGACCGGCCAGGCCUCGGCUCUCAAAGUGCACACAUCCCACUGCGGAGAAGACAACCGAAAAAGAAAAUAAAUAAAUGAAAGAGAGAACAUCAGCUCAUGGUAAAUACUAAGGAGCAACUAAAAUCAAGUGCUGUGAUAGAAGGGACAGAAGUGUGCCUGAGGCCUAAUUUGGGAUGAAUGAUCAGGGAACACCUCACUGAGGAGGGGACUCCUGAAGCCAGGAAGGCCAGUUAAACCAAAACAAACAAACAAAAAACCCAACCUGAUUUUGCAGACCCGGUCAGUGAAGGUCAAAAAUGUCUGUUCUGGCUGACCUGGCAAGUUCUGUAAAUGGCUGACUGUGAUACCCAGGGCCACAAAGAGGACCAAUGUCAUUUGCUGCUGUUUCAUGAAUACAGUUACUAAAAACUUCUCCACAGUUCGCAAAGCACCAGAAAUAUUCAAGGUAGAAGCUGAUUCAAAGAAAACUGAUGAAAUCUCUUUGUUUUCUGCAGGAAGAUGUGGGGUCUAGGGCACCAGCCUUGGUUUUGUAUUCAUGUGUUCAUUCCAUAGAUAUCUUCUGAGCUUUCACCUUGCACACAGGGGUGGGCUGGGAACCCUGGAGAUGUAGUGGUGAACAGAUGCGAAGGCCUUCAAGGAAGUCACAGUCUAGAGAGGGCUAUGGCGUGUGGACCAUAUAGGAGGAAAUGUGCUGAAAGCCAUCAUCCCAAUACCCUAUGCUGGUCUAGCCAGGAGUCCUUGUCCAUGGUUCUGUAUUUGUCAAUUCAAUCAUUUAUCAAAUAUGUAUUGUAUACCCACUGUGUGUCAGGCCUUGAGCUACAAAGGACAAUAAGGCAGAAGGGGGUCCCUGGUUUCUAAGGACUUAAGCUGUAGUCAGGAGGAAAGAGACAACAAAACGUUACACAAAGAAAUUAACAAGGUAAUUUCUAUACUGAUGAAGUCUUCUGAGGAAAUUAAAGUAGGGCAUGAGAUAGCCCUGGGGAGGGAGAUGUCCUCUAGAGAAGACUGUGAAAGGUGGGAGGAUUCAGCGAGUCAAGAUCUCAGGAGAGAACAUGACGGGUAGGGACAUGGCAGGGAAAGUCCUGCAUCAAGAAAAAGCAGUGGCGUGCUGGGUGAACAGCAAGGCUACAUGCCUGAAACAUGCUGACCAAGGAGAGUGGGGCCCUCACUCAGCCUCGGGAGAGCUGGCAGGUCACAGGGGACCUUGAUGGUCUCAGUGACAAAUCUGUGUCCAACCCUAAGAGCAAUGGGA